ACCGGAGACACGCACACGGCAGGACGGACGUCAGGAGCAGAAGCAGCUUUGGGGCUCAGAGUGAAUUAAGUUUCCUCUCCUUUGGAAGCAAGAUUUCUAUAACUGGCAGCUGGUACCUUCGGGGCCUAGACAUGUUGCUGGAUCUUUCUAAAUAGACCUACUGUUGCAUGCAAAACAACAUCAAGAGAAUACUGAGGAAAAGAAAUCCUCAUUUGAUUAGACUCCAACGGCUUGAAGUACAGCUGUGAACUAAGGAAAUGUAGUAAAGAGCUAACAAGAAAAAAUUGAACAAAAUAUUGAAGCUAUUGUAUGAUUAGACCGUGCAGCUCUAAUGGCUUGGAAUUACCAAGGAGACUGAAUGACAAUAAUACCCUGGAAAUGACAGUAAUAGCCUGCAAGUAGGUUAGCAUGUCAUGUUUGGUGGAGACUUGCUAGCAACUCCACUAGGCAACAGCUGUUUUCAAGGGCAUGUGACAAGAAGAAACCUGCUUUAGUAAACAUGUAAGUUUCCAGAUUUGUUUUUUUUUUUAAAUAUUUUUAAAAAAAGCUGUAAACUGUCAUUUAAAUUUUUAUUUAAUGUUUAAUAAAAAUUAAACUGACAGUUUACAGCUGUUUUUAAAAAAGGUCUUCCUUAAUAGUUAAGAAAGAGCAGGGAGGAGGUUUGAGAUGUUCAGAUAUUUUUAAAUACUAUAGUCUGUCUUGUAAAAAUGUAUUAACAUCUUCUAAAAUUACUGACUCCAUAAACAAACAGUAAGCAUGAUUUACUAAGCAAGUCAUCUGAACUGUGGUACAACCAUAUAAGCCAUUAUUUUCCCCGUAUUUGGUCCGUGAGUUUACUAGGUGGUAUAUUUCAAAAUCAUUUAUUUAUUAUGUCAGACACUGAAAACAUGCCUUCCAAAAAAAUCUAAUAAUAGGUGCAGGUCAAUAGCAUUCACUGAAUUUCAAAACAAAAAAGACACUAGAAAGAAAUAUUAACACUGGCUGCAGCUUUCUCUGUAAACAAGCAGCUAGAAGAAACAUUUUAGCUGCUUUUAGUUUUUCUGAACACAUACACAUUUGAUUUUUCCAAAGUAACCCCCUUGUUUCCUUCUCUAGUGAAGAAUACUAAAAUAUUCAUCUGGCAAGUCAUGGUACUAUAAUACAAAACUCUGGUGGGGACCCUAGUGUACAUAAGGCUCCUGAAACAGAAAGUUUAUUUUUCUGUAUUGCACCAUCAGACUCUCAAUGUUUAACAAAUGAUGUGCAGUAAAAGUUCCAAAAAACUAACACAUGGUGACACAAGGUUAAAUGUAGGGUAAAAGUUGAUGAGAUUACUUGAAUAUAAAAGAUUAUGACUGUCAUUUUGAAAGAAUGCUUGUCUCUAAAUUAAAAAGUGAAAAAUAUUAAGAAAAACAGAUGUGGAAUGUAGUUGAGAUUUUCUAUUUCUCUGUUAUCCUGUAUGCUGGGUAUUAAAUCUCUUAAGAUCAGUGUAUUUUAGUCUCAAAGAAAAGUAGGAGCCAUCCUUCGUAAUAAUUCUGAUUAAUUUCUCUGCACAUUAAUUUUUAAUUGAGCUGUAGCUCACGAAAGCUUAUGCUCAA